rnacentral:rRNA from 1 species
AUUGAACGCUGGCGGCAGGCCUAACACAUGCAAGUCGAGCGGUAGCACAGAGAGCUUGCUCUCGGGUGACGAGCGGCGGACGGGUGAGUAAUGUCUGGGAAACUGCCUGAUGGAGGGGGAUAACUACUGGAAACGGUAGCUAAUACCGCAUAACGUCGCAAGACCAAAGUGGGGGACCUUCGGGCCUCAUGCCAUCAGAUGUGCCCAGAUGGGAUUAGCUAGUAGGUGGGGUAACGACUCACCUAGGCGACGAUCCCUAGCUGGUCUGAGAGGAGGACCAGCCACACUGGAACUGAGACACGGUCCAGACCCCUACGGGAGGCAGAAGUGGGGAAUAUUGCACAAUGGGCGCAAGCCUGAUGCAGCCAUGCCGCGUGUGUGAAGAAGGCCUUCGGGUUGUAAAGCACUUUCAGCGGGGAGGAAGGCGGUGAGGUUAAUAACCUCACCGAUUGACGUUACCCGCAGAAGAAGCACCGGCUAACUCCGUGCCAGCCGCCGCGGUAA